CAGCGUUUAAAUAAAAUAUUUUAUACAAGCUGUAGGUAUGUACGAGUUAGUGUGUAAGUACACCGUUUGAUUAAUCGUUAUUCGAUAAGAUAAGGCUAAAUUAUUAAUUGCUACACAUCUGUAUACCUAAUGAAUUUUCAAAACCUGUAAACAAUUAUAGGUUAUUUAGUUUAAGUAACUCUGGGAUUUUAAAUGCAUUUUCACAGGUUUUAUAAUGAUUCUUUGGCAUUUCCAAUGCCUUGCGUAUUGUUUGGUUUGGGGACUUUUAAGAUUUUACGGUUAAAUUCACAGCCGUGAAUGGUGAUAACGAUUCUGUUUUAGGCCGUUGUAUCUUUUCGGCGUCACUCGUAAUAAAUGUUUAACAUGACGUCACAUACAAAAAAAUUUAUCGCA